rnacentral:lncRNA from 1 species
CACCAUCAUAGAACUCCCCGCCUGUGAAGUCUACUUUGGUUUCGAAACAAAUCUCUUUGAAAGCAUCGACCACCACCUGAACACGAGAAUGAUCCAAAUCGACAGCCACCGCCCUUCCAAUCGCCUCACCAAUGCUCUCAAAAGUGGGUACUGUUUUGAACUCCACCGGAACUCCUAUAACUCGAACCCAAAAGGUUAUCUCCGACGGGUAGAGCGAGGACUUCUUAGGUUGCCAGCGCGCCAAGGAAAACAUCCAGUAAUCAAAAUGAAAGGAUUGAAGCUUAAGAACCCCCUCUAUGUCCUCCUCCUUAUCGAAGUCAAACUGAAACUUACCAAAACCCAAAUCUGAACCAACUACCCUCUC